AUACGGAGGGUGCAAGCGUUAUCCGGAAUCAUUGGGUUUAAAGGGUCUGUAGGCGGGCUAUUAAGUCAGAGGUGAAAUCCCACAGCUCAACUGUGGAACUGCCUUUGAUACUGAUAGUCUUGAGUUACAGUGAAGUAGAUAGAAUAUGUAGUGUAGCGGUGAAAUGCAUAGAUAUUACAUAGAAUACCGAUUGCGAAGGCAGUCUACUAACUGUAUCCUGACGCUGAUGGACGAAAGCGUGGGGAGCGAACAGGAUUAGAAACCCUAGUAGUCC
rnacentral:rRNA from 1 species